rfam:Schistosoma margrebowiei strain Zambia genome assembly, scaffold: SMRZ_contig0000485
AUCCAGCUGACGAGCCCCGAACAGGACGAAACGCGCGUCCUCCAU